UACCAGCACCCCGAGUGGUCGGGACGUUUUAUUGGGCCUAAAGCAUCCGUAGCCGGUUCUACAAGUCUUCCGUUAAAUCCACCUGCUUAACAGAAUGGGCUGCGGAAGAUACUAUAGAGCUAGGAGGCGGGAGAGGCAAGCGGUACUCGAUGGGUAGGGGUAAAAAUCCGUUGAUCCAUUGAAGACCACCAGUGGCGAAGGCGGCUUGCCAGAACGCGCUCGACGGUGAGGGAUGAAAGCUGGGGGAGCAAACCGG
rnacentral:rRNA from 1 species